rnacentral:lncRNA from 1 species
CUUUGUUUCUUCAGUUUUUUGCUGACGUUGGGGUCACUGGCUAGGCGGCGGGCGGCCUCCGUAAUCUGGGACUGAAUGGCAAACUCUCGUUCCAGGCGUUCCAGCUCAGCUUCCUGUGGGAGGGAAAGCACCGGUUUGGGUUACUGGGGAUGCUGAGCAGGGAGACCCUCAUCCUUCCCUCCCCUGUCCCAAGGCAAGUCCAGUUCCAUGGGAGACACUCUUAAGAGUAGCCCCACUCCUAAAAUCUGCACCCACUGAAGUCCCCAGGCACACCCACUGUUGUAACCCUUGCUCCUGUUACUUUCUGAAGACAAGUGUUGGUGUGAACGCUGCCGCCAUCGCUGAGAACAGAGUUCCCACGAUGCAGGUUUAGGGAUCGCUUGGCUGUGUUUCGACUGUCUCCAGCAAGGUUCAUCAAGACAAACCAAAGCCUUUGGAGAGAUUCAGAGCCCAAGUGACUGUCACUUCCUUUCCAUUUUGGAUGUAGGAUGCAGCAGGAUUUUUAGUUUCUUUAUGCCAUUCUUCUCUGUGGACUUGCUACCAAGGAGCUCACACACAUGAGCUAAUGCACGGGCCUCUGACUCUCACACUGUGUGCCCCUCACGUGUGCCUAACUCACAGGCCUCUGACUCACAUAUCUUGUCUUUCCCUGUACCCCCACUCACCCGCGUGUCUUUCGGGAGCUUUUCUUUUCUUUUCUUUUUUUUUUUUUUUUUUUGAGAUGGAUCUUGCUCUGUCACCCAGGCUGGAGUGCACUGGUGCAAUCUCUGCUCACUGUAACCACUGCUUCCCAGGUUCAAAUGAUUCUCCUGCCUCAGCCUCCUGAGUAGAUGAGAUUACAGGCACCUGCCACCACACCUUGCUAACUUUUGUAUUUUUAGUAGAGAUGGGGUUUUACCAUGUUGGCCAGGCUGGUCUCGAACUCCUGACCUCAGACUAUCCUUCUGCCUUGGCCUCCCAAAGUGCUGGGAUUACAGGUGUGAGCCACCAUGCCCGGCCAUGGGAGCUCAUUUUGCAAGCUCUGGCUGUCCCUCCCCCAUCUGCCUAUUCAUGUAUACUCUGCUAGGCUACAGCCGGGCCCUUCAAGGGGCACAAAUGGACAGUGGGUGGUGGUGGAGGCAGUCCCCCUCCCACCCCACCCCCCCAGCUCACUUGAUGUCCUUCCCCUCUUUUUACUGUAGCUCCCUCCCACCUCUAUUCUUCCUUUAGCCAAGAAGUACGGAUGGAUGAGAUUCUCCUCAGAGUUUUGGGACCGGGAAGAAUGAAGCUGUGGCUGUCAAAAAUGCCUGGUGGACCUAGCGGAUGACACCUAGACAGCAUGUUUGCUGCUGUCCUCUAUGCUGACCAAGCCUCUCCUCUGCAGAUUAAAACCCCUCCGGAUCAGAGCUAGCUCUAAACAGCACCUUGUCGGUUGAGAUUUUGAGCAACAGGGUCCUGCAAGGUGGGCAUAUUUGGCAGCCUGAAGGAGAGGUAGAAUAUUUGCCUAACCCCACAGCUAGUAAACCCAGGACAAAUGCAUCGGCAGCUUCUCAAGGCCAGGGAGAGAGAGCACACAUCUUGCCCUAGGAAAUUCACAGACACGCUGAAAUUUGAUGGGAACUGAUCUAGCCAAAUAGGAGGAGAUCAAUUGUUUGCUAGAAUCAACAGAUCUUCCUGUUUAGUUGCUCAGUAAAAUAUCCUUGCCUCUGGGCACAAUGCACCAAGCUGGAGGAUGCCAUCAAGGAGAAGUUCUUUGCCUGAUCUCAUUGACUUUUGAGCACUUUAAGCCUAAAGGGAGCAGGAACAAGAAGCGAGAGGAAAAGGUGAAGGUUAAAGAGAACUAUUUCGGAGAUAAUAAACUCCUUCUGAAUCCUGCCAAGGCUGGCUGCGCUGUUGUCUCAGAGGGAGAAGAAUAUCAACAUGGACUCCUGCCUGUGGUCUUGAAAUAGGCAAGUCACCAAGGGACAAAGACUGUUCUGUGAGUUUGGGCUCCCUGGGGCAGCUGUUCCUGAGCUGUUACAAUGGCCCUGGCACCAGACACUGAUUCAGAGUUUUGUGGGGAGCCCAGGACAAAUUCUCACUAUUUAAACUAAGACAAGUCCAAGGCUGAAUGCCCUGUCCAUGCAAAUGUCUGCCUGUUAUAUGAAUAGGGAAGCAAAGUGCGUUUCCAGGAGCCACAGUAGAGACCAGGUGAUCAUCUCAUGCUUCCCAGAGGAACCCCGCAGAAUGCCAGCUGCUCCUGUGUUGGUUCCUUUUACGAACUUAGGAAAGAUCAUGUGUGGGGACAGUCUCCAGCCCCAUCUUCACCCGUGUUCAGUCCAAAGGAUGGACGUAGCUUCUCCAAACACAGACAAACAAGGCCAGGGCCGCCCAAGCAUCCUGCACACAUUCUUGGAGGGAUGUGAGUAGCCAGCUUUUCUUCCAUAGAUCACACAUCAAGCUUGGCUCUCAGUCACUGAGGGCUGAGAGGCCAUUACAAAGCCAAAUACACGUGAAUGCUACUGGAAUGUUUUCCCCAAGCUCAACGUGGCUGCUUGCGCUAGACCCACAGCGUCAGACAAGCAACUUCGACAGACACCCAAAUGCCUGCAAAUGCAAGCAAACUACUCCUACCGAGGGGAACCACAUACUGACCGGCCAGCUCACUCAAGAAAAGGUAUGAGCGAAAAUACUGGCAUUAGGCAGAAAUGAAGAAAUUGGUACAGAAAACCUGGAAGGCCUGACCAAUGGGAAAAACAAGGAUAACAUGAGAGAAUCCAACAACAGAAAGGAAGGACGCACCUCUCCUUUGGGCAGGAUUUUCUGUUCAUCCAGUUUGAAGGCUGUUCCUAUUCUUCUCCGAACAAUGGGUGGUUCCUCCCCUGGAUCCAGGGGAUAUUCUACUGGCAGCUUGCCCGUGAGCUCCUGCAUAUGUGAAAUGGCAUUCGGAGUGAGCACAAAUCAGAGUGGGGCGUGUCUGCUUCCUAGAACACACACACACGCACAUACACGCACACAAAAAUGCACGCAUGCACUUCGAUACAGGUCAACGCUUAUGCUAGAAAUGUUCACAUUAAGCACUAUGCCUAAGUAAGAGGUCAAGAAAUGAAAUUUCAUUUCUCUAACAAUGUCUCUUAUGUAGAAUAGUUGCACUUCCAAAGUUUUUUCCAAAGUAAAUUUCUGUAAUUGCCAUUUGACUUUCAUUAUAAAACUUGAAUUUCAUUCAUUUGUUAAGUGAACAGAUAUUUCCUGCCUGCCUCCUCUGUGCCAGGCAAGGUCACCCAGCCAGUGAGGAGCAGUGUCAGCGUGAGUUCUCGGGCCUCUCUAACUCCAAAUCCCGUGCUCUUGACACUGCAUCAAAUAUUCCUGCUCAAAUAUCUAAGUUUAAAGUUUCCUUCAAAUGGAUUUUCACAAGAGGAGUGGUAUCUAUAUGGCAAAUCCCAGAAAAGUGCAUAGAUAAAUAAUUUAGAAACUGAGUAAGGAUAGUAACCUACUCUGGCCAGAUGCUACAGGAAUAGGCUGUACUUAAAAGACAUUAAACUGUUUAAUUUAAAAGUUUUAGUAGAAUGGCUGGGCACGGUGGCUCAUGUCUGUAAUCCCAGCACUUUGGGAAGCCGAGGCAGGCGGAUCUCUUGAGAUCAGGAGUCCGAGACCAGCCUGGCCAACAUGGUGAAACCCUGUCUCUACUAAAAAUACAAAAAUUAGCUGGGCGUGGUGGUAAGCACCUGUAAUCCCAGCUACUUGGGAAGCUGAGGCAGGAGAAUCGCUUGAACCCGGGAGGCGGAGGUUGCAGUGAGCCAAGAUCAUGCCACUACACUCCAGCCUGGGUGACAGAUCGAGACUCUGUUUAUUAAGGAAAAAAAAAGUUUAGUAGAAACUGAACAUAUAAUCCAUGUUAUUGACAAGGCUACUAAAAAAACACUUGUUUUGUGUAUUUUGGGCCCCGGAAAUCUACUUGUUGUGGGUACAAGGACAGUGAAUUUAGUUGACAGACUUCCAUGGUGACAGUGAUCCUGGUUAAAGGCUAAGGAUCUGGGGGCGAUUCAAGAUUAGAAUCAGGCUCUCUGUGAGUGAGUUGUAUCAGGGCUGAACAAUGAUCAAAUCAGAGUCAGUGGCUGCCCCACACUGUAGAGGCCAGGCAUCAAAUUCAAGAAGUCACUUCCAGAGACCAGAAAAGGCUGGGGGACCAACUGUGCAUCUGUCUCUAAUGGCAAAGUGGGCACUUCCAGGCCAAGCCCAGCUCUGGCUUUUCUAGCCCAAAUCAACGCAGAUGCUGCACAAAGACUGAAGGAGCUGCUCUGACAAGGAAGUUCAGGAGGCUUUUCUCAGGAAUAUCCAUCAUCUACACAGAAAGCUUUUGCGCAGGGCAGCCCAGGGCUGAGUGCCCAGCAGGCGGGAAAAUCCAAAUCAUGAGAGUGUGAUGCUGGCCCUUCUUCUCCAACUGCUGUGUGCACAUGUGUACGCAUGUAUGCAUGUGCAGGCAUGGUGUGUGCAUGUGUGUGCGUGUGUACAUGUGUACACGUGACAUGAGCAUAAACACAUACUCCGUCACUCGCCUGCUUCUCCCUCGCUGUGUUCAGAUUGCCGGGAAAUGACCCCGUGGACUUUAUAUUCCUCAAUGUAAGCAUUUCAGAGCACAAUGGCCAACUAUCUGAGUAUCAGACUCUGCAAUUUUCUUCCCUGGUUUUUUCUUUAAAAAAAAAAUGUGGUUCAAAUGUCUCCAAAGUAGUUAAGUGUUUAUUCCGCAACUUUUUUUUAAUCUGCUUCCCUAAAAGUCUAUCUAUAAGUAACACAACUAUUGAGGGUUUUAUAUUGUCAGGACUUGAUUUUUUUUUUUUACUUAGAAAAUUCCAAAAAGGAGGGAAAAGUUGUUAAAAUUGCCAUGGAUCUGUAACUCUAAACUGUUGGUGGUUUUAAAAUGUAGUUUAAAAAAUGAGGCUACUGAUUUUUUUCACCAUCCACUUGAAGGUAUUUGAGUCGAAGUCUUGAUUCUCCAGAUAUUUAAUCUGAUUUCAUGUGUAACUGGAGCUGCACGCUGAAGACGUAAUUUAACACUCUGCAGUGGGGCCUCGGCUUGGUGCCUCCCUAUAUCCUGCCAAAUGCUCUCCCCCUCCAUCAUUCUAGUUGCCCCCCUCCCCAGGGGUCAAGCAGCGCGUCUUGAUACUCUGAGCUGAGGGGAGAGAUGCAGGAACAGCACAGAUUUAGCAAGACCUCCCCCCAGCCCUUGACUACACAUGCGUCAAGAGGCUAUGGUGGGACUAACUAUAGGGAAUGAUCACAGGAGAAAUCUACCUGCAACUGAUUUCUUGUUGGGUUAUUUCUUCCACUCAAGUUACAUUUUCUGGUGUUAACAUUAUAAGAAGUGGCAGCUUUGUUUUCCUUCUUUUGUUUUUGUUUUUAAGAGCGAUGGUGAGAUUUUUUUAUAAUGCAUGCUCAUCUUGCCCUGACAUGUUCCUUACCUUUUUGAAACGUGGAUUCCCUGCCGGGUUUAGGGACUUUUUAUUAAAAACAAAACAAGGCUUUCCAAAUUAUUAAAGGCAGACACCCAAACUCAUAUUUUUUCCAAUCCUUCAAGCGUAUUCUUUAUAAAAAUGUUGCUAAUAUUAACAGUAUCACAUAGCGCAUUCCCCAGCCAGGCCAAUUGCUUUCCUAAGAUUUGCAAUGGAUUUGUGCUAAUGUGGUUCUGCUUUGAGCUGGCUCCGGUUUAAAUCAAUCCAGACCAUAAUUAAGCCAAGUUGAAAUGUAAUGUGAUCUCACUCCACGGCCCCUUGUUUCAUUCUUCCCGCUGCAAGGCCUUAGUGUUUGGGGGAGGGGUAUACGUCUCUUUGACUUACUUUGGGAACCUCUUUUGACUUCCCAUUCUCAACUGUUUACCGGCGAAGCUCUUUCUAAGGUUAGGUGGUGCACAGUUGCUCCUGCCCUGGAGAGCUCCCACCCCAUUGUGCCCAUGUGCACAAUGCACACAUGUGCAUGCGUGCGCGCGCGCACACACACACACACACAGAGUCAUGUGUAUUGCAUUAAAACAUGAAGCCUUCAAACACUUCUAACAAAUAGUCAUGAAAUAAACAGACAAAGGUGGAAAUGGAUAUUUAAAUAAAUAAAGACAGCAGCUUGCAGCAACUUCUGUGAGACUAGCACAUACAUAGGGUCGAGAAAGCAUUGCUUUUUUUUUUUUUUUUUUUUUUUUGAGACAGGGUCUUGCUCUGUCACCCAAGCUGGAGUGCAAUGGCGUGAUCACUGCUCACUGCAGUCUCAACCUUUCAGGCUCAAGCGAUCCUCCUGCCUCACUCUCCUGAGUAGCUGGGACUACAGACACACACCACCACCUCUGGCUAUUUUUUUGUAGAGACAGGGUCUCACUAUGUUGCUCAGGCUAGUCUCCAACCCCUGGUCUCCAGUGAUCCUCCUGCCUCAGCCUCCCAAAGUGCUAGUAUUACAGGCAUGAGCAGCUGUGCCCAGCCUGCAUAAAAUUUAAAAAUGUCAUUAGGCUAAGAUUUCAUUUUUUAAAAUGAAAAAGCUAAACACCAGAUCACAGGGUCUAAAGGUGACUAUAUACCAAGUGAGAUCGUGGUUUCCUUGUUGACCACCAGUGUUUCUCAAUAGGAUGUCCAAAGACAAGUCUGAAAUACCCUUAAGAAAGAACAAAAGCCACCACAACAAUAAACUCAGGCACAAAAUCUUGGGAGGAUGGUGGCCAGCCAUUAUGAUCGAUGAGGCACUAUCACGUGAGGAGAUGCUUUAUGAACCACCAUGCAAGUAUGAGGGAUGAGGGAUCAUCAUUGGGACUUGUCGCUUGGACUCCCAUGGGGUCCUCUUUGGGAUUUUGCCAGCACCAACUUUAACUGGUCAUCACAGUGCUUCAUCAACCAAUUCUUUGAUGGGUUUAGGGACUUUUUCUUUUGUUGAAAACAAAACAAGGCUUUCCAAAUAAUUAAAGGCACACACCAAAACCCAUAUUUUUUCCAACCCUUUAAGCAUAUUCUUUUAAAAAAAUUCGCUAAUAUUAACAGUAUCACAUAGUGCAUUUCCCAGCCAGGUCAACUGCUUUCUUAAGAUUUGCACUAAUGCGGUUCUGCUCUUUCUCUGACAAAGCACAUUAGAGAGGUUUGGAUGUUUCCAACAUUUGUGUUUCAGGAGAGCGCUCGCCGCCCAGAUAGGCCCUCUUUUUAUCACUACCCUUGCCUUCUGUCAAAACGAUCAAAUGACAUCAGUCAAAUGACAUCAAAAAGAUCAAAUGACAUCAGAAAGAUCAGUGACAUCACAGACAACACCAAUUUCAACGGGAUGAGCUAGGAAAGGCUUACAGCUUCUCGGAGACACAGCUUCUUCAGUUCCUCCAGCCUCUGACGCAGGGUUUCCUCCAGAGCUUCCUGCCUGGACUUCAAGGCAGCCAGCAUGUCCUUCUUGGCCGACUGCGAGCUAUCUGAUUCCUGAGAACCUGUCGAUAAACAGUGGGGUUACUUGGCCAGCUGACAGGGGACACACAUCUGGACCACUAAUGAAUUUAACUGGAGCCCAUGCUGCGGAGAUGGGAUUUACCCCAGGAAUCAAGGGAGUGUGAAAUAAAACAGGUGCUCAGCACUCUAACUGUGAGAAGCACAUUCCAGCACUGCAUGGAAUUUAUAGCCAGUCACAAGAAAUGGCAGGAAGAUGGACCCUCCUGAAAAAGAAGUUUAUCUUUCUCAAUUAUCUUAAGAAAUGUCACAUACCUUUUUAAAUUUUACUAGCAAAUUCUAAUAGACUUUACACAAGAAAGGGGGAAAGAAAAGCUCAUGUCAGCAAUUUUAAUACGUAUUGAGUUAUUUAUCUUUGUUUGAGACAGUCUCACUCUGUCACCCAGCCUGGAGUACAGUGGCAUGAUCUCGGCUCGCUGCAACCUCCGCCUCCCAGGUUCAAGUGAUUCUCGUGCCUCAGCCUCCCGAGUAGCUGGGGUUACAGGCAUCCGCCACCACACCCGGCUAAUUUUGUAUUUUUAGUAGAGAUGGGGUUUCGCCAUGUUGGCCAGGCUGGUCUCGAACUCCUGACCUCAAGUGAUCUGCCUGCCUUGGCCUCCCAAAGUGCUGGGAUUCCAGGUGUAAGCCACCGUGCCCAGCCCUAAAACGUAUUUAAAAUGUUAUUUUGUUCCCUUAAAAAUACUUAUUAUUUUUGCUUAGUGCAAAGAUAAUGUGUGUUUAUGAUGAAAACCCUGAAAAUGUAGACAGGUAUAAGAAAUAGUCCAUUAACUAAUCACCCAGAAAUAACCAUUGCUAUGCAUUUUCUUUUGGCCUUUUUUCUAAGUACAUAUAUUUAAAAAAUAAAAUUAGAAUGCUAUUGUAUUUUUUAACUUCAUGUUUUGUAUCAUGAGCAAAUUCCCUCCUAAUAAAAGUUAUACAUAUUUUAACAUACUUUUCCUGGGUAAAACAUGAUGAUUCAAAUAGCAGAGUGCUCGAUAGGAAACCUUGUGGAAGGCAAACUUCAAACCAAACCAAAGGAAAAUAAGCUGAAAUGCCAUCUGGAGGAAUUUAGGUUAGACCAAAGGAGUAAUUUCUGGGCUGCCAGUGUUUGGAUUCUGAAAUAACUUUCCUGGAGUGAAGCUAUUGUACUUUUUCUACCUUGAUGGGUUAGAAAAGGAACACUGACUCUCUACAAAGGGAAAAGCUGAUUAUAACUUUUCUUUUCUUUUUCUUUUUUUUUUCAGACAGUUUCACUCUUGUUGCCCAGGCUGGAGUGCAGUGGCACCAUCUCGGCUCACUGCAACCUCCGCCUCCUAGGUUCAAGAGAUUCUCCUGCCUCAGCCUGCCAAGGUAGCUGGGAUUACAGGCACCCGCCACCAC